UAGGAGAGCGGGAGAGGUAAACGGUACUCUGUGGGUAGGGGUAAAAUCCUUUGAUCCAUAGAGGACCACCAGUGGCGAAGGCGCGUUACCAGAACGCGUUCGACGGUGAGGGAUGAAAGCUGGGGGAGCAAACCGGAUUAGAUACCCGGGUAGUCCCAGCUGUAAACGAUG
rnacentral:rRNA from 1 species